GGUCAGGAACUGCGCAGCGAAGACCUGUGAACCCCGCCAGGACCGGAAGGUAGCAGCGGUAACGGGAUCCUUCGGGUGCCGCAACCAUCCUGAUCGGA
rnacentral:SRP_RNA from 1 species